rnacentral:rRNA from 1 species
UUGAAAAGCCGGGGGAUGACUUGUGGAUAGGGGUGAAAGGCUAAUCAAACUCGGUGAUAGCUGGUUCUCCCCGAAAGCUAUUUAGGUAGCGCCUCGGACGAACACUUACGGGGGUAGAGCACUGUUUCGGCUAGGGGGUCAUCCCGACUUACCAAACCGAUGCAAACUCCGAAUACCGUAAAGUGUUAUCCGGGAGACAGACGGUGGGUGCUAAUGUCCAUCGUCAAGAGGGAAACAACCCAGACCGCCAGCUAAGGCCCCAAAAUUGUAGUUAAGUGGGAAACGAUGUGGGAAGGCAUAGACAGCUAGGAGGUUGGCUUAGAGGCAGCCAUCCUUUAAAGAAAGCGUAAUAGCUCACUAGUCGAGUCGGCCUGCGCGGAAGAUGUAACGGGGCUAAAACUACAUGCCGAAGCUGCGGAUGCCUAUUUUAUAGGCGUGGUAGGGGAGCGUUCUGUAAGUCUGCGAAGGUGUGUUGAGAAGCAUGCUGGAGAUAUCAGAAGUGCGAAUGCUGACGUGAGUAACGAUAAGGGGUGUGAAAAACAUCCCCGCCGGAAGACCAAGGGUUCCUGCUCAACGUUAAUCGGAGCAGGGUGAGUCGACCCCUAAGGCGAGGCUGAAAAGCGUAGUCGAUGGGAGAUAGGUUAAUAUUCCUAUACCUCUUACUGAUGCGAUGGAGGGACGGAGAAGGCUAGGUUUACCAGCGAUUGGUAGUGCUGGGGAAAGGUUGUAGGCAUGUAUCUUAGGCAAAUCCGGGAUACUUUAUGCUGAGAACUGAGACGAACCCAUACUUGUAUGGGGAAGUAACUGAUGCCAUGCUUCCAAGAAAAGCUUCUAAGCUUCAGUCAGUAAGGGAUCGUACCCGAAACCGACACAGGUGGUCAGGUCGAGAAGACUAAGGCGCUUGAGAGAACUCUGGUGAAGGAACUAGGCAAAAUAGUACCGUAACUUCGGGAGAAGGUACGCUGUUGAUGGUGAAGGAUUUACUCCGUAAGCUAUCGGCAGCCUCAGAAACUAGGCCGCUGCAACUGUUUAUUAAAAACACAGCACUCUGCAAACACGAAAGUGGACGUAUAGGGUGUGAUGCCUGCCCGGUGCUGGAAGGUUAAUUGAUGGGGUUAGCGAAAGCGAAGCUCUUGAUCGAAGCCCCAGUAAACGGCGGCCGUAACAAUAACGGUCCUAAGGUAGCGAAAUUCCUUGUCGGGUAAGUUCCGACCUGCACGAAUGGCAUAAUGAUGGCG